CACAAUGGGCGCAAGCCUGAUGCAGCCAUGCCGCGUGUUAUUGAAGAAGGCCUUCGGGUUGUAAAGUACUUUUCAGCAGUGAGGAAGGUGGAUAUGUUAAUAGCAUUAUUCAUUUGACGUUUAGCUGCAGAAGAAGCACCGGCUAACUCCGUUGCCAGCAGCCGCGGUAAUACGGAGGGUGCGAGCGUUAAUCGGAAUUACUGGGCGUAAAGCGCAUGCAGGUGGUUUGUUAAGUCAGAUGUGAAAGCCCGGGGCUCAACCUCGGAAUUGCAUUUGAAACUGGCAAACUAGAGUACUGUAGAGGGGGUAGAAUUUCAGGUGUAGCGGUGAAAUGCGUAGAGAUCUGAAGGAAUACCGGUGGCGAAGGCGGCCCCCUGGACAGAUACUGACACUCAGAUGCGAAAGCGUGGGGAGCAAACAGGAUUAGAUACCCUGGUAG
rnacentral:rRNA from 1 species